rnacentral:tRNA from 1 species
GUGAAUGUAGCUCAGUUGGUUAGAGCGCCGGUCUGUGGAACCGGAGGCCGGGGGUUCAAGUCCCCUCAUUCACCCCA